UAAUAAUUACUCUGUUACAAGGUAGUCAACCAGAUAAUCCAGAUGUUGGUUGCAUACUGUUACAAUUAUUAGCACAAAAGCACAACAUUGUUUUACAAAUUCUUACAGCUCAAAUCACUGAGACUACUUCCCUUGGGUUCUCAGACUUCACUCGAAAUCACUGCAUUAAUCCAUUGGUUUACAGAACAAGUGCAGGCACUGAGGAGGCCUUGGCUGUGCUGACAAAGAGUUAACAACAAAGAGCACAACAGGUAAAAGUUUGCCCCAAGGAGUAUUAAUUCCCCCACACUUCCAAGAACUACAGUGCAUCUGCCCAGAAGGCUGCACCAGCUUCUCACCCCACAGACAGACAAGGGAGGUCCCAAGAGGAACCUGAGGCAUGCUGCAGUCAGCCAAAAGGUGAGAGGGAGGACGCAUUCCUCUGAGGCAAGAGCAUCUUUCCCCUACAAGAAGAACACUGAAAGUCAACAUUUUACUUCCCUUUGUCUGGCAGGAAGAUGUAUGUGCUGGUGGUGACUAUGAAAGUGUUUAUGACCCAAACAAUAAGCCAAAAUUAAUGAUCAACAAAAACUUAG